GCGCCUCCAGCCGGGAACUGGGGACGUUUCGGUUUAACCUUUGCAUUGCUGCUCCGGUCUGUUUCUGUCAGCUGCCUGAAAGGAAUGGUGCGAGCUAAGUGACCGAAACCCAAUCGGACAAAUUGACGUAUUCACCCUGGAACUGCAAGCAGCAAAAGCCAAGCAGAUGCAGAACGACAGUGUGACUUCAACUGGAUGCAGAAUCAAACAGCACUAACAACACUUAGGGAAAAAUAUACACAACAUAACGGAAACUUACGUUAGACUUCAGAGUCCAGAUAUAAGAUGCAUUUUGACCCACCGCAUCCUUCACGGUCCUGAAAAUGAUAGACUGGAUGCCAGUAGCACAAGGAAUCAGACCUUCACAUCAUAUCAGUCCAGGAAAAUUCAGGCAACAGGACCAAGACCCUCAGACAGUUACAGACUGUACAAAAGCAACUGACAUCAUCCACAGACUGAACUUUCACAACUAUUAAGUAAAUGGCACUGCCUUGAGACAUCCGUCGAAAUCUGGAGAUUACCCCAUGAUGAAACCUUGGGUCAGUCACCAGCAAAAUGGAGAAAGGUUGGGCUGUGGUUCUGACCCAGGCCAAUAAUUAGAGUAAUUAUUAGAUAACUAGAAUAAUAAUCCAUGCAAAAAGAGACCAGGGCUCUGGUUUGGAAUGUAAUUCUGAUCCCUGAGAAACUUGCAAUUCAACAAACUAUAAGCACAACUGAAAAGUCUAGAGAAAAGUCAUUCAGGAGUUGCUAUAUUGAGAGGGACUACUUUAUAAAACCUGCCUAAUACUACAGACUGAAAUACAUGAAGUGUACCUCACGUGACUGCUGUACCAGGAAGUGUACCAGCCCGCUGUAUGGAAAAAUCUACCUCCAACUAAGGAUCUUCAUUGGCAAUGCAAAACUCCAACAAAGCACUUUGUUAUCCAAGAUGCAAACUAUCCAAAAAUGCAACAAGUAUAAAACCAAACAAGAAGACCUGUAUGCCCUUUGGAAGAUUCUAGACUGUAAGCUCAUUGUGGGCAGCUAAUUCUAGUGUAUUAUACUCUUCCAAUUGCUUCGUAUAGUGU